rnacentral:sRNA from 1 species
UUCUUUGAUGCGCACGGAAGGGUUCGAACCUCCGACCAAGAACAAUCGGUUCGAACCGAGCGUAGCGAGCUCAAUGGCACGCAGUGCCAUCCCGCAGGGCAAGCGCCGUAGGCGCGCAGUAAUCCUUCCGGGCGCGCCA